rnacentral:rRNA from 1 species
AUUGAACGCUGGCGGCAGGCUUAACACAUGCAAGUCGAGCGGAGCGAGGGUGCUUGCACCUUAGCUUAGCGGCGGACGGGUGAGUAAUGCUUAGGAAUCUGCCUAUUAGUGGGGGACAACAUUCCGAAAGGAAUGCUAAUACCGCAUACGCCCUACGGGGGAAAGCAGGGGAUCUUCGGACCUGGCGCUAAUCGAUGAGCCUACGUCGGAGUAGCUAGUGGGUGGGGUAAAGGCCUACCAAGGCGACGAUCUGUAGCGGGUCUGAGAGGAUGAUCCGCCACACUGGGACUGAGACACGGCCCAGACUCCUACGGGAGGCAGCAGUGGGGAAUAUUGGACAAUGGGCGGAAGCCUGAUCCAGCCAUGCCGCGUGUGUGAGGAAGGCCUUUUGGUUGUAAAGCACUUUAAGCGAGGAGGAGGCUACUUAGAUUAAUACUCUAGGAUAGUGGACGUUACUCGCAGAAUAAGCACCGGCUAACUCUGUGCCAGCCGCCGCAGUAAGAC